ensembl:ncRNA lncRNA:CR45096 long non-coding RNA:CR45096
ACGCCCACUAAAGUGGCAUGCCGCCUUGGUUAUGUAAACAGCCAGAAGAGGAGGCUCGCCAAAGGAAGGUGAAUUGAUAAAGGCCGCAGAUGACGCCGGGCGUUGAUGAUGCCGAUGAUGAUGAUAAUAAUGAUGAUGGAGGACCUGGAGCUGGAGCUGGCACACAUCACAACGUGUGAUGCCAGGGGCCAAAGGUUGCCUCCAGAGGAGGAGGGUGAAUGGUGGUAGUGCUUGCUCGAGGACGUGUGCAGUAAGUGUUAAUGUUGCAAUCUUUUUCGAGGAGCCAAGACACUGCGAGUGGCUCAAUGGGUGGCUUUGUGGGCAAUAAGCCGGUGGAGAUGUGAAGGUAGUGCUUCGGGAAUCUACGGAAAGUGAAAUGAGAUUAUGUCAUGUUCAGCGAAUUACUCAAGAUUUUU